rnacentral:lncRNA from 1 species
CAGAUGCUACACACAGGUCAAUGGCAUGUUGGUUAUGGCCUGCUUCACUUUGUGUUGAACAAAUGCACAGCUUUUGUGAUUGAGACUUCACAAAAGAGAACUUCAGAGGAAUCGCCAACAAGUAAUUCAUCCUGAUAAUUUUCCCACUGUCUGCAGUUUUAAGUUGUACAGUAGCUUCCUCCUUAUUGUAUCCAUAGCAUUGACAGCUCAAAGGGCAAUAUAAAGCUAUUUUGCUACUUUUACAAGGAUGGAUUGAAAGGAUGGGAGAUACAAGUCCUUUUGUAACAGAAGAAUUCUUAUUGCUUUCCCAUUGAGUUUUAUUGCAGGGGACACGGCACUGAUCAUCUUAGCCAACACACUUCCAGUAACCAUGGGGUGUCCUGAUUGAUUACCUCAAAAGCGUGGAUAACUGGAAGAUCUCUUAGGAGCCCAUUGUGGCAGGGAAAUGCCAUCCAGACCUGCAGCCAAGCAUGCGAUGGAAGAAAAGAAGUUAGACCAUGCAGGAACCGCCACUCCAGUGAGAACCACCCAGCAAUGAGGAAAGGCAACAGGGCUGCAUUUCAGGGGUGCAGAGGGAGAGAGAUCCUCCCUGUGUCAGUCCCUCAGGAUUUUCAUUUAUCAGCCCCCCAAGGGCUGGAGGUGAUGGCACAGCAAAGCAUAUUUAUUUUUUCCUGUGACACUAGAGAAAUACAGAAAACGAUAUUGCUCAUCUACUUCCUCUGGCUUUCCACAACUCUGUCACACUUAGGCAAGAUGUCCCCAAGGAAAGGGAUCAAAGCUAGUUAUGACAUUCAAAUGUCAAAAUAGUGAGGCAUGCCUUUUAACAAUACCUGGUAAGAAUAUUCUGGUAAGAAUUUUUAUCAAUGCACAUUUUUUAGCAGAAAAUUCUUUUCUCGAGAGACUCCCAUUUUUAAACCAAAAGGUGAUCAAUACUGUAGAACACCCAAAUGUCAAUCAAAACCAUUCUGUCUAGCCAGCAUUCAUUUGUUUCCACAUCAUAAGACUGGCUCUCCCUACUUUGUCUUUGUGGCUGGUUUGCUAUGUCUCUAUGCAGCAAAGGACUAGUUCAUGUUGGAAAACUUGUUUAAUCUUUUAAUUUCUGUUCUUUUAGAAUAUAUAAUUGUUACAACAUGCAAAAGGCUCAAGUUCAAAGUGAUGAGUCUGACAAUUUUAUAUUC